rnacentral:rRNA from 1 species
AGCGAGCGCUGGCGGCAGGCCUAACACAUGCAAGUCGAACGAACUCUUCGGGGUUAGUGGCGGACGGGUGAGUAACACGUGGGAACGUGCCUUUAGGUUCGGAAUAACUCAGGGAAACUUGUGCUAAUACCGAAUGUGCCCUUCGGGGGAAAGAUUUAUCGCCUUUAGAGCGGCCCGCGUCUGAUUAGCUAGUUGGUGAGGUAAAGGCUCACCAAGGCGACGAUCAGUAGCUGGUCUGAGAGGAUGACCAGCCACAUUGGGACUGAGACACGGCCCAAACUCCUACGGGAGGCAGCAGUGGGGAAUCUUGCGCAAUGGGCGAAAGCCUGACGCAGCCAUGCCGCGUGAAUGACGAAGGUCUUAGGAUUGUAAAAAUCUUUCACCGGGGACGAUAAUGACGGUACCCGGAGAAGAAGCCCCGGCUAACUUCGUGCCAGCCGCCGCCGUAAAAC